rnacentral:snRNA from 1 species
CUGGCUUUGGCACCACCUUUACCAAUAUUGGAAAGCUACAGAGAAAACUAGCACGACCCCAGUGCGAGGAUGACACGGAAAUUUGUGAAGUGUUCCAUAUUUAA